rnacentral:rRNA from 1 species
UACGUAGGGCGCAAGCGUUGUCCGGAAUUACUGGGCGUAAAGCGUGCGUAGACGGUCAUGUAAGUCGGGUGUGAAAGCCCCGGGCUCAACCUGGGAAUUGCAUUCGAGACUGCGUGGCUAGGGUGCGGAAGAGGGAAGCGGAAUUUCCGGUGUAGCGGUGAAAUGCGUAGAUAUCGGAAGGAACACCAGUGGCGAAAGCGGCUUCCUGGUCCAGCACCGACGUUCAGGCACGAAAGCGUGGGGAGCAAACAGG